GUUAAGGUGUUGAGCCGGAGCCGCAGCGAAAGCGAGUCUGAAUAGGGCGUUUCGUCUGUAUCAGUAGACCCGAAACCAGGUGAUCUAUCCAUGGCCAGGCUGAAGCAUGAUUAAACUCAUGUGGAGGGCCGAACCUGUUGUUGUUGAAAAAACAUUGGAUGAGCUGUGGAUAGGGGUGAAAAGCCAAUCGAACCUGGAGAUAGCUGGUUCUCCCCGAAAUAGUUUGAGGACUAGCGUUGAGAUUUAACCCUUGGGGGUAGAGCACUGACAGGGCUAGGGGGCUUACCGGCUUACCGAACCCCAUCAAACUCCGAAUACCGCGGGGAACAUCUCAGCAGUCAGACAGUGGGGGAUAAGCUCCAUUGUCAAAAGGGAAACAGCCCAGAACAUCAGCUAAGGUCCCUAAUCGAUGCUCAGUGGUAAAGGAAGUCGUUUCGCAUAGACAACUAGGAGGUUGGCUUAGAAGCAGCCAUCCUUGAAAGAGUGCGUAAUAGCUCACUAGUCGAGUGAGGCGGCGCCGAAAAUGUAACGGGGCUCAAGCAUCGAACCGAAGCUAUGUGAUUCACGCAAGUGGAUCGGUAGGGGAGCGUUGUAGCGUAGGCUGAAGGUCGACCGUGAGGACGGCUGGACGAACUACAAGUGCGAAUGCAGGUAUAAGUAGCGAUAAAUGCGAGUGAGAACCUCGCACGCCGGAAGUCUAAGGUUUCCUGAGCUACGUCAAUCGUCUCAGGGUGAGUCGGGUCCUAAGCCGAGGCUGAGAAGCGUAGGCGAUGGCCAAGCCGUUCAUAUUCGGCUACCACCGACGUCUGUUUAGACUUCUUCGAACACUGAUGCAAUGUUUGGCCGCGAUCGCUAGAUCGUGGUUUUUAUGUUGCGCCGGCGUUCGCUGAAGUCUAUGAAGCGAAGGGAUGACGCAGGAAGAUAUGUCAGCGCACCGAUGGAUGUGUGCGUCUAAGCUGGUAGGGGGUCACAUAGGCAAAUCCGUGUGGCUAACUCCGAGAAGCGAAUGCGAUGGUCCUUGUGACCAGAAGUGAUUGACUCUACGCUGCCAAGAAAAGUCUCUAGUUAAGACAUAGGUGCCCGUACCGUACACCGACACAGGUAGACUGGCAGAGCAUGCUAAGGCGACGGGAGAAUCCCUGUUAAGGAACUCGGCAAAUUAACCCCGUAACUUAGGGAUAAGGGGUGCCCCUUUUCGUGUAGUCUUUACGACGAUAGCGGAGGGGGGUCGCAGCAAAUAGGCCCAAGCGACUGUUUAACAAAAACACAGGUCUCUGCGAACGCGAAAGCGGACGUAUAGGGGCUGACUCCUGCCCGGUGCUGGAAGGUUAAAAGGAGAGGUUAGCGCAAGCGAAGCUUUGAUUUGAAGCCCCAGUAAACGGCGGCGGUAACUAUAACCGUCCUAAGGUAGCGAAAUUCCUUGUCGGGUAAGUUCCGACCUGCACGAAUGGAGUAACGACUUGGGCACUGUCUCGAUGGGGAACCCGGCGAAAUUGCAGUACCAGUGAAGAUGCUGGUUACCCGCGGCAGGACGGAAAGACCCCAUGAAGCUUUACUGUAUCCUGAUGUUGAGUUCUGAGAUUUUCUGUACAGGAUAGGUGGGAAACGAUGAUCCGGGGGCGCUAGCUUCCGGGGAGUUAACCUUGGGAUACCACCCUGAACGUCUUGGGAUUCUAACUAACCACCGUAAUCCGGUGGUAGGACAGCGUCAGGUGGGCAGUUUGACUGGGGCGGUCGCCUCCUAAAGAGUAACGGAGGCGCCCAAAGGUUCCCUCAGAUCGGUCAGAAACCGAUCGUUAGAGUGCAUAGGCAAAAGGGAGCUUGACUGCGAGACGGACAGGUCGAGCAGGUGCGAAAGCAGGGCUAAGUGAUCCGGCGGUUCCGAAUGGAAGGGCCGUCGCUUAUCGGAUAAAAGCUACUCUGGGGAUAACAGGCUUAUCUCCCCCAAGAGUCCACAUCGACGGGGAGGUUUGGCACCUCGAUGUCGGAUCGUCGCAUCCUGGGGCUGUAGUAGGUCCCAAGGGUUGGGCUGUUCGCCCAUUAAAGCGGUACGCGAGCUGGGUUUAGAACGUCGUGAGACAGUUCGGUCCCUAUCCGCCGUGGGCGUAGGAGAUUUGAGGAGUGUCGACCCUAGUACGAGAGGACCGGGUUGAACGAACCGCUGGUGAACCGGUUGUCCCGCCAGGGGCAUAGCCGGGUAGCUACGUUCGGAUCAGAUAAACGCUGAAAGCAUAUAAGCGUGAAACUGACUUCAAGAUGAGAUCUCAAUCUCGAAAGAGGGAAGGGUCGUGGGAGACUACCACGUUGAUAGGCCGGGGGUGGAAGGCGAGCAAUCGCUGGAGCUGACCGGUACUAAUAGCCCGGAAACUUUUAAGA
rnacentral:rRNA from 1 species